rnacentral:rRNA from 1 species
AGAGUUUGAUCCUGGCUCAGGACGAACGCUGGCGGCGUGCCUAACACAUGCAAGUCGAACGGAACUGUUUUGAAAGAUUUCUUCGGAAUGAAUUUGAUUUAGUUUAGUGGCGGACGGGUGAGUAACGCGUGAGUAACCUGCCUUCAAGAGGGGGAUAACAUUCUGAAAAGAAUGCUAAUACCGCAUGAUAUAUCGGAACCACAUGGUUUUGAUAUCAAAGAUUUUAUCGCUUGAAGAUGGACUCGCGUCCGAUUAGUUAGUUGGUGAGGUAACGGCUCACCAAGACCGCGAUCGGUAGCCGGACUGAGAGGUUGAACGGCCACAUUGGGACUGAGACACGGCCCAGACUCCUACGGGAGGCAGCAGUGGGGGAUAUUGCGCAAUGGGGGCAACCCUGACGCAGCAACGCCGCGUGAAGGAUGAAGGUUUUCGGAUUGUAAACUUCUUUUAUUAAGGACGAAGAUUGACGGUACUUAAUGAAUAAGCUCCGGCUAACUACGUGCCAGCAGCCGCGGUAAUACGUAGGGAGCAAGCGUUGUCCGGAUUUACUGGGUGUAAAGGGUGCGUANGCNGCUUUGCAAGUCAGAUGUGAAAUCUAUGGGCUNCACCCAUAAACUGCAUUUGAAACUGUAGAGCUUGAGUGAAGUAGAGGCAGGCGGAAUUCCCCGUGUAGCGGUGAAUGCGUAAGAUGGGGGGAGGGAAACCAGUUGGCCCAAGGCGGCUGCUGGGCUUUAACUGACGCUGAAGCACGAAAGCGUGGGUAGCAAACAGGGAUAGAUACCCU